UUUCUAAAGAUCCUAUAAAAACAAUAGUUUGCGACCUCGAUGUUGAAUUAAUUACCUAAUUAGAGCAAAAACCAAUUAAGGAAGUCUGUUCGACUUUUAAACAAUUACAUGAUUUGAGUUCAGACCGGUAUAAGCCAGGUCGGUUUCUAUCUUCUACUACUAACUUCUUACAGUACGAAAGGACCCAAGAAAAUAA
rnacentral:rRNA from 1 species